AACGAACGCUGGCGGCAGGCCUAACACAUGCAAGUCGAACGAGAUCUUCGGAUCUAGUGGCGGACGGGUGAGUAACGCGUGGGAACGUGCCCUUCUCUACGGAAUAGUCCUGGGAAACUGGGUUUAAUACCGUAUACGCCCUUCGGGGGAAAGAAUUUCGGGGAAGGAUCGGCCCGCGUUGGAUUAGGUAGUUGGUGGGGUAAUGGCCUACCAAGCCGACGAUCCAUAGCUGGUUUGAGAGGAUGAUCAGCCACACUGGGACUGAGACACGGCCCAGACUCCUACGGGAGGCAGCAGUGGGGAAUCUUAGACAAUGGGGGCAACCCUGAUCUAGCCAUGCCGCGUGAGUGACGAAGGCCCUAGGGUCGUAAAGCUCUUUCGCCAGGGAUGAUAAUGACAGUACCUGGUAAAGAACCCCGGCUAAACUCCGUGCCCAGCAGCCGCGGUAAAUUC
rnacentral:rRNA from 1 species